GAAAAUGAAGAAUUCCUUAAGUUCUCACUUGAAAAUUUGAUUUGUAAGGGAACUGGAAGUUUUCCUGCUGAGUGCUCCAUGUGUAAGAGAGUUGACCUUCUGUUUUCUGAAGUUACUUUAAGGAUCAUGUUUCAGAAGGAAAACAAGCCUGGCAUAGAAACCACUUCAGCGCCUGUUUAUCCAGCACGCAGGGUGAGGACACUAUUAGGCGUGAAAAAACAAUUUCAUGGGUAUUAGGCUAUAGUUCCAGGACUCACCUUCAAGGACUGAGGGUCUUAGGCUGCUGCUAUGAGGAUGUCAAUGCCAGUGUCCCUGAGGAAGAGGCCAGAUUGAAUAUUGCUGAAUUUGUUUUCUGAAUAAAUAUUUAGAAACAGCCA